GACCUACGGGAGGCAGCAGUGGGGAAUAUUGCACAAUGGGGGAAACCCUGAUGCAGCGACGCCGCGUGAGCGAAGAAGUAUUUCGGUAUGUAAAGCUCUAUCAGCAGGGAAGAAAAAUGACGGUACCUGAGUAAGAAGCACCGGCUAAAUACGUGCCAGCAGCCGCGGUAAUACGUAUGGUGCAAGCGUUAUCCGGAUUUACUGGGUGUAAAGGGAGCGUAGACGGUGCAGCAAGUCUGAUGUGAAAGGUCGGGGCCCAACCCCGGGACUGCAUUGGAAACUGUUGAACUGGAGUACAGGAGAGG
rnacentral:rRNA from 1 species